rnacentral:rRNA from 1 species
AAUCGCAGAUCAGAAUGCUGCGGUGAAUGCGUUCCCAGGUCUUGUACACACCGCCCGUCACACCACGGGAGUCGGAAAUGCCCGAAGUCGGUGACCUAACUGAAAGGAAGGAGCCGCCGAAGGCAGGUCUGGUGACUGGGGUGAAGUCGUAACAAGGUAGC